UGAUUCCGUCUGAAUAACGGUAUAUCUAGUUGAUGUCAGGAUUGGGUUUUGUGAAAAGUCCAAAAUUCUGGAACUUAGGAUAUUUUAAAGAUGUAGCUUAGUUGUAUUUUCAGCUGUGAGAUUGUUUGUCAUAUCAUUAUGCAACUACCAAUCUAAGCUUAAAAGGCAAAAACUUGCACGUUUUGUUUGCAGAAAAUUAACCGCUAGUAAUUGUGACUAUAGUGAAACUGAAAGAAAAACUAAAGUAUACAAUAACAAAGGUUUACUCUAGGCACGAAGAUAAAUUCAAUACUUGGUGUCAUGAGUCCUAGCUAAUUCAGUACCGGUAGUAGAGUAAACCUCUACCAAGAGAAAUAUACCCCUUGCCAUUGGCUGAGUGGUAUGUCUGAUUUAUGACAAAUAAGUACCAGUUUUCAUUAUCUGUGACUCGCACAAGUAGCCCAUUCUGUAGCUUUGUGCUUAACGUCAAACUCAACGAAACAGACCUCGUAGAUAGCAAUUUUAAAUGACAUUUUUUUUUUUUUACCUAAUGGCUUCUGUCUCCAAGAUUGCUAGAGUAUUGGAUGAAGCUAUGAUGGAAGAGAUUCAUAUUAAUAGUAUGGAUAUGCUUUAUGAUGUUUCCUAGUAUGUGAUUUACAAGUUCAAGAAUCCAAAGAUUCUGAUUCAUCAUUUAGUUAUGAAGAAAUUGAUAAACGAAGUAAAUGCAUUGAUUAUAAACCAUUGUUAAAUCGUACAUUACCCUUCCCUUCUUGCCAUUUUAGCUGAUAAGCCUUUGAUUCCUCAACUUGUUUAGGAAAUGCAGAGUCCUGCCAGCCUAGUAAUGGAAGAUGAAUACAAGUUAAGAUAGAACUCGAAAGGCCAUUCUUUUCAAUCGGCUUGAAACCACAAAACAUCACCCAAUAGUUUAAACAUUCAAAGAGGCUAGCUAGUCUACUUCCAACAGUGAGCCAACUUGGUGUGAUGCUUUUUCACACCCAGUUUAGUCAGACUUCAAGAAUACCACAACAUGUGAUAAGAUCUGAAUAUUUCAAAACGUUCCAGCUGUGUACUGGUGCAGCUGACAUCAGUCUGCCACAAUGGUUUUGAUAAUGUAUCCUGCUUGGUUAAAAGUUCAGAAUGUUGACAUGUGGCAAAAGAACCAACAGAAAAAUAUGAUUGUAGCACAGAAGGCAGAAAAAUGAGCAAUUACCCAGUAAAAAUAAGCUAAGAUGACCUAAUAGCUGAUGGUGAAAGAUGAUUUUUGGGUUAGUGUUUAUUAAGCAACAGAUAAUUUACGAAACCUUUAUCAAGUUUUCCUGCCUCAAGACAUCAAACUUUUUUGCUUAAUGAAUCUGUUGACAUGCUGAAGUUACUACUGGAAAAAAUGAGCCCUUUAAAAAGAUGAAAAAGAAUAAUAUGGUUUUGACUCUUUUUCCACAAGCACUAGUCUUUCCUUCAUUAAUAAGUAAAAUGCAUGGUGUACUUAAAAUUUACAGAAGAAUUGGAACAACUACAACUAAAGAGUUAAAAGUAUUGCCUACAUUAUAUUUGGCUUAUCUUUAGUUUUAUUAAUGUUUAGAUCUCAAAUUAAUGCAAUGAAUGCACUUCAUUUUUAAUUUGUAAUUACUAUCAUGAAUGCAUUUAUUAAAUUUGUCUUUUUUUUUGUAAUUUAAAAUUAAUAGCACAUUUCAGUUUUAACUUUCUGUGAAUAUUUGCAGAGCCCUGCAAUAAGUCUAAAGGCCUGUAACACUAAAUCCAGGUUUCAAUACUCGUGGUGGGAACAGGUAGCACACUGUGUAGUCUUGCAUUUGUAGGUGGAAGGUAAUGUCUGAAAAAAAAUGUCUUGUGUGCACUUUUUUUUUUUAUUUUUUUCUUCAGUAUGUAUCUAUUUCAGAUUAACUCUUGACAUUUUUGGUUAUAUAUUUGUGCCAGUUAGCUUUAUUACCAUUUAGAAGGUAAUUAAGUAAAUUUUGUGGAGUGUAAGGAACAUUCCUUAAACAAAAUCCUUGUACAAGAUCCCAGGGGUGCUCAAGGACUCUGUAGUCCUCCUUUGCUCCAGAUGUGGAGGUUAAAAAAAACAUGGAAUAAAAAGUAUGUACAUGUGAAUAGUGUCAGCAAAAGUGAAGAGGGAAACUCAUUGUGUUUUGAUAAAAUUUUCCUGUAUAUGGACUCUUAUUUUCAGGGGAGUGGAUAUUUGUAGAUCCAAUGCCCAGUUUAAUUUUGUUGUGGAGGAGAAACUGGAGAUCCCAGAUAAGAACCCACUUUCAUUAGUUAGGAGACCCGAUUCAUUCCAAACUAGUGCCCAGGAUGUUCACAUGAUUGGUUGAACUUUUUGACCUGUAAGAGAAAGCUGAAAAGAAACUACAUGAGGCACAGAGGUUAGUAGUGAUAAUUAUGUACAAGCGGAGACCCACAACAUCUCUGGCCAAGUUAGUUCUCUUUAUGAAAACAGUACGUCUUUAAAUAUAACAAUUCUAGCACAAAAAAAACUAAUUGUAAUCAUAGACAAUGAAAUGUGUAAAUUCACUUGCAUAUAGGCCAUACUUUAUAAAACUUUAACUUGUUAGGCAUAAGUUCGAUGAAGAGAAAUUAACACUGUAACCUGUGUAAGUUUUUAUUUUACACUUUAGUUUAGUUAGGACUAAACUUUACUGUACUUAAUACUAUUGAUAAAUGAACUUGUUAUUCUAUGACCUAACAUCAAACCUUUUUUUAAAAACUUAAGUUUUUAAUAUUCUAUUGUACAAAAUGGUUAGUGAAGUAUAUUUACAUUCCUCUUUUGUUACUUCUUGUUUCAUACAGCAAUUGUAGUGACUUGAUCACUGAGCUGUGCAGACUGUUUGCUGUCGAGUGAAUAAUGUGCAGUUUUUCUUAGGGAAACAUUCUAACUAUGCAUGCUUAUGCAGUAAGUUCUCGGUCAAAGUGUAACGGUUUUACAUACCAACAAGCAGAAAAAUAGUAUAGAUGGCGGUUUUAUCUACAAACUGUUUGUUUCGAAUUUGGGCAAUCAUUUUGAGGGGGGGACAUAUCUUUGCCAGGAAGAAGGGGUGGCAAUUAAGGUAGUGAACUGGGAAGCUUGUUUCUUUUUGGUGCCAUUGCAGUAUAAUUUAAUGGUAAGUUUCUCUUAUCUCGAGUUAAUUGACUGUAGUAUAUCUAAUUUGUAUAUGUAGCAUGUAGGUGUGUAUUAGGGUGCAUCGAAAGACUAUGAUAAAACCAAACAUAAUUUUUAAUUUGAAAAAGUUGUUAAUCAAUAAAAGAAAGUGUUAAAUUUAUUGUCUUACUAAUGUAUCUUGGUUUGCCCCAAAUCUCUAAUACAGAAUAGGCUCACUUUAGUGACUGUAAGCUAUCCAACAGUAUAUUAUGCUGCUAUUUUCUAAAUAAAUGGUCUUAUUAUAAUCAAAACCAUUUAAAUUACCCAGAACUUGCCACAAGGAGGGAACUGUAUUUUGAGUCCCACGAGAUUCAUUGUAUGUAAGUUCUUGAUUCAUCCUUUCAGGGUCACAUUUAUGAACUGCUGGUUAAAGUGGCCUGAAGAAACUCCUUUACAUAUACUGAACAGAGUCUGUGCGUAAAGGGACAUUAUUUCCAGUGGCAGACAGGUGUAUAUAGGUUUGAAGUUGUUUCCAUCAAGAUGUUGCAUGAAAUCUUUAUAUUCAUGUUGAACUUAAUUUUUAGCUCCAGACAAGAGUUUUUAUACUGCAU